rnacentral:rRNA from 1 species
CGUGCAGGCGGUUUGGCAAGUCUGAUGUGAAAGCCCCGGGCUUAACCCGGGAAGUGCAUUGGAAACUGCCGGACUUGAGUACUGGAGAGGAAGGGGGAAUUCCCGGUGUAGAGGUGAAAUUCGUAGAGAUCGGGAGGAAUACCAGUGGCGAAGGCGCCCUUCUGGACGGUUACUGACGCUGAGACGCGAAAGCGUGGGGAGCAAACA